rnacentral:lncRNA from 1 species
UGGCUCUCUUCCCACUUUGAUCAGCCUGCGACAACAUCAACUCUUACACAACCAGUACAACAUCAAAAUACCACAAUAGGUAGUUGCUUUGGCCAGGAGGUGAAAGGAAAUGUAAUCUGCUUUUGCAUGCAUAAGACAUUCAGGUUGUCUUUUAAGUACAACAAUUCAAUUCUUAUCUGAUUUUUACUAAUACAAGGAACAGUCUGAAUCUUGUUUAUAAAAUCAACGAUCCAGACUAAUUAAGCUAGAUGAAAAUAUGCCCAAAGGAAAUCCUUACAAUCACUACAAACAACAAUGCUUGCAUCAAUAAAUUACAUCAAAAUAUCAAAAUUCAUUAUGCAUAGCAGGCAGGUCCACUCAUUAAGGAGAAUUGAAGAGAAGCACAAAAGAAAUCCUUAUUGCUGGCACUAGUAACACACAAGUUCCCCAUAGCUUUUCCAAUGCUCUUCCCAGAAUUCCUAUGCAAUAGAAAUCAAUCACCAAUCACCAUGCCAUAAAUCAACAGUACAAAGAUAUUAAAGAUAUAAAAAGUACAAAGGUGUCCAUAUUAGAAAUAUAUAAAACUGAUAAAAUAUUCAUAGGCAGCAGAUCUCAACGUACCGACAAAAGAUAUUAAAGAUGACAGUUUGUGACCUUUCGAGGGGGAGGCGAGGAGCACCUGCAUCAUAUAGACAAGGAAGAGGGGUCAGGUUAGGGAGGAUCUCGUGAAGCGCAUCCACUAUAGACGUCAUCAUUAUAACUGUGAGUAAAUAACACUUUAUGUUCAAUGGCUACAUCUAUUAAUGAUAGUUGUUCAAUCUAUAGACGCAUUUAACAUGUACUCCCUCGGUUCCAUAAUAUAAGAGCGUN